rnacentral:rRNA from 1 species
UACGAAGGGGGCUAGCGUUGCUCGGAAUUACUGGGCGUAAAGGGCUCGUAGGCGGCCAACUAAGUCCGACGUGAAAUCCCAAGGCUUAACCUUGGAACUGCGUCGGAUACUGGAUGGCUUGAAUUCGGGAGAGGGAUGCAGAAUUCCAGGUGUAGCGGUGAAAUGCGUAGAUAUCUGGAGGAAUACCGGUGGCGAAGGCGGCAUCCUGGACCGACAUUGACGCUGAUGAGCGAAAGCUAGGGGAGCAAACGGG